rnacentral:rRNA from 1 species
UGAGUGACUUUCGCUAAGAAAGUCUUUUGGCACCUCUAAAAAGGGUGCAGAAAAAGGGGUGGGCAAGUCUGGUGUCAGCCGCCGCGGUAAUACCAGCACCCCGAGUGGUCGGGACGAUUAUUGGGCCUAAAGCAUCCGUAGCUUGUUCUGCAAGUCUUCCGUUAAAUCCACCUGCUCAACAGAUGGGCUGCGGAAGAUACUACAGGGCUAGGAGGCGGGAGAGGCAAGCGGUACUCAGUGGGUAGGGGUAAAAUCCUCUGAUCCACUGAAGACCACCAGUGGCGAAGGCGGCUUGCCAGAACGCGCUCGACGGUGAGGGAUGAAAGCUGGGGGAGCAAACCGGAUUAGAUACCCGGGUAGUCCCAGCUGUAAACGAUGCAGACUCGGUGAUGGGUUGGCUUCGUGCAAAUCCAGUGCCGCAGGGAAGCCGUUAAGUCUGCCGCCUGGGGAGUACGGC